CCUACGGGAGACAGCAGUGGGGGAUAUUGCACAAUGGGGGAAACCCUGAUGCAGCGACGCCGCGUGGGUGAAGAAGCGCCUCGGCGCGUAAAGCCCUGUCAGCAGGGAAGAAAAUGACGGUACCUGAAGAAGAAGCCCCGGCUAACUACGUGCCAGCAGCCGCGGUAAUACGUAGGGGGCAAGCCUUAUACGGAUUUACUGGGUGUAAAGGGGGCGCAGACGGCGAUGCAAGCCAGGAGGGAAAGCCCGGGGCCCAACCCCGGGACUGCUCUUGGAACUGCGUGGCUAGAGUGCAGGAGGGGCAGGCUGAAUUCCUGGUGUAGCGGUGAAAUGCGUAGAUAUCAGGAGGAACACCGGUGGCGAAGGCGGCCUGCUGGACUGCAACUGACGUUGAGGCCCGAAAGCGUGGGGAGCAAACAGGAUUAGAUACCCUUGUAGUC
rnacentral:rRNA from 1 species